rnacentral:rRNA from 1 species
GAUGAACGCUGGCGGCGUGCCUAAUACAUGCAAGUCGAGCGAACGGACGAGAAGCUUGCUUCUCUGAUGUUAGCGGCGGACGGGUUAGUAACACGUGGAUAACCUACCUAUAAGACUGGGAUAACUUCGGGAAACCGGAGCUAAUACCGGAUAAUAUUUUGAACCGCAUGGUUCAAAAGUUAAAGACGGUCUUGCUGUCACUUAUAGAUGGAUCCGCGCUGCAUUAGCUAGUUGGUAAGGUAACGGCUUACCAAGGCAACGAUGCAUAGCCGACCUGAGAGGGUGAUCAGCCACACUGGAACUGAGACACGGCCCAGACUCCUACGGGAGGCAGCAGUAGGGAAUUUUCCGCAAUGGGCGAAAGCCUGAUCGAGCAAUGCCGCGUGCGUGAUGAAGGUCUUCGGAUUGUAAACCUCUGUUAUUAGGGACGAAAAUAUGUGUACGUAAAUGUGCACAUCUUGACGGUACCUAAUCAGAAAGCCCCGGCUAACUACGUG